UAAGAUAUCAAUGAGGAUAACAAGCUCCCUCUUCUGAAACAAAUCUGAGCACAACUGCUGGCUGAAUCGAACCUAAUACAAUCGCCACUACUGAGUUA